AUGUGGUGUGUGUGUGUGUGUGUAUAUACUAAGAGGGUGUACACACACACACACACACACACACACACACACACACACACACAC
rnacentral:miRNA from 14 species